rnacentral:lncRNA from 1 species
GUUUUGAAGAUGCAAAUGAUGCAUGAAUGUUUCUUUUUUGUUUUUGUUUUAUUAAUGCAAAGUUAUUUAGUUAUUCGUGUUAUUUAUCGCAAGAAAUACUUAACAAUUUACGGUUGCAAUCAAGAAUAACGAGAAUACCCAGGGAGUAAAUCGUAACAAAGCUUCAUAUGUCCUUUUAAGGGAAUAAUACAAGUACAAGUACAUUGGAAAUUG